CUCUACGAGCGAAUAAAGUUAAUAAGCUUAAUUCUAAAUAUAACUGAUAAUUGAACGAGUGAACAAGAGAUUGAUGAUUCUUUUGAUCGUGGACAAAGAAGCCGUGUGUGAUAUCGACGACUCGAACGAAUUUUGUUAAAUAACAGUGAUUAAAAAGAGACGAGCGAGAAUCAUAGGUUAUCCACGAGGAACGUUAACUCGAGAUUUUGUGGUUCGUGAUUGUUGCAAUAUUUCGAAUUAAAUAAAUAGUGAUAAUUGUGUUGAAUUUUGAAAUUUGUUACGUAAAAACAAGAUUUUUUUUCAUAAAUUAAAGAUAAUUGAUAAUUUUACUGAAUACGUUGAGAAUAAAGAAAGAUGAACAGGUGCAUAGCGUUGGAGAAAAACUGGAUACGCGACUUCAUUAGUACAAGCCGUGAACACUUUCGCCGACACACGAAGAACGACUUGACGGUUGUCGAUAAUCUGCGAAGACGACUUGCAAGAAAAGUGUAUGUCGGGAUUGUGACUAAUAGAAAAAUGUAGAGAGUUUGCGGGGAAUAAUAAAAGCGUUUCGAAGAGAAAUUCCACGAAACGUGGCUGAAAGUCUGUCUACCUAUUGCUCGCAUGGUCGAUAAUCAUUUCUAGAAAGUAAUUGCAUCAGAAAUUCAUAAGAAAAUAUGCGGAUAAUUAUCAAAAUAGCGUUCAAUAUUUCAAUCGACCAAGCCUAGAAAUUUUACAAUUAACUCUACAAUUUACAAGUUGAAUCCUCCAUGUACAAAACUACUCUACAAUUCAUAGCAUAAAAUUCCAUAACAGGAGGAAAAGAUGCCAAACCAUCGUGGAAAUCAGCAUCGCAUCCCACGAUUUUCCUCUCUCAACGAAACAGAAUAUAACAAAUGUUGGAUGAUAGGCAGGAUCUCGAGGACGAGGAGGAGGAAGAAGCCUCGAUACGACGAUUCGUUUCCGUUUCGAUUUUGCCGCCUUGAGGCCCGGAGCGGAAUG